rnacentral:lncRNA from 1 species
UGUAGUCCGAUGCACACUUUCCCGCCUAAUUGCUCUCUAAGUGGCAAAUAUGUUGGGCCCUGAUGAACGGCCUGUCAACUGGCAGUCGGCAGUUGGGAAGACUCAGCAUGGGGGGACUAGAUAUGAAUAAAUGCGUGUAUUUUGAUUCUUUAGAUUGUCAAUGUGGGAGGUUCCCCACUUCAACCUGAACAGAAAUAGGGAAAAUGGGAAACUCAUCAUAUAAAAUUGUCUAUUAAUUAUGACACGCUGAGUGGCAGGAAGAGCUGUUGAAUCUAAGAAUACUAUUAGCAUCUAUGAAGCAUGAAGGGAAGACUUUGCCGGGAGCAAUGUAAAUCACGAGUUAGAAUAUUUACAAAAAGACUAAAAUUAAUCCAUAAAUAUGAUAAGAUUCACAAACUACGCUCAAACAAAUCGUCUAACCACAUUAACGAUCUACUACAGAAAAUACACACAAAUCGUAGAAUUGAUUAAAAAUGCAUUUGCAGCAUCCACAACUUGUUGAAAGUGGUUUUGCGCCGAAUGAAGUUUGCGCUGCAAUUUGUUCGAGCUCCGACUGUCGGACUCUCUCAGACUCGUGCUUGGUCACUUUAUUAAUUUUAAAAUAAAAUAGCACAACCAUUAACAAUGCACCAGCCAAAGUCCACUAACAGCCAGGAACCACAAUAGCAGAAGGCAUCUAAAAAACAGUAAACAAUAAACAAAAACAGGAGCACGGCGCACAAGGACAAGUCGACAUCAGAGCCGUGGACAGCAGCAGGAGCUGGAUCCAGGACCAAGUACAACUGGAAAGCUACGACGAAAUAAAACAUGCUUACUUACACAAUGUUGAGUACGUGUAAAACAUAUACACGAGCAUCUACAGUAGUUACUCCGGACACACCACACCACACCACACCACACUAUACCUACAUACCGUAUACUGCUGCGAUGCACUGUAAAAAGCACAAAACUUAGUCAGCCAGUCAGCGAUGCGAUGCUGAAAGGCAGAGCGAGAGAGACCAGGAGCGAGAGUGAGAGAGAGCGAGAGAACUUUCUUCGCACGCUUUGCAGUCAUUUGGAGCAUAUGUUUCGAACAUUUUUCAUAAUCAAAAAGCUUUUAGCGGCGGACAGUGGCAAUGAUGGCCAGAACGUCGGCGAGGAUGCUGCUCAUGCCACGCCUUCCUGCCGCUGCCGCUGCCGCUGACCCAGCCUCAGUCCCUGCCACAACCACUCCCGCUGCUGAUUCCUGGCCAAGUGGAGCUUACUGUCCGUUUCAUUUUCGAGUGCAGCAGCGUGUAAAAUCGCAAUAAUGCACAAGAUUCCCUGCCCAGUGGCCCUUUUCCAGGGAUAAAAACUAAAGAAAAAUGCUGGUUACUAAACGAAGCCUAAUCGGGAAUACUCUACCGAAAAACUUAAUACAGAAUUGAUCGAAAAUGCAGUUCAAUUCACAGUAAAUGUCAAAUGCCUGUUUAAUAAUUUUCAAUCUUAGACACAAGAUUUAACAUCAUAUCCUGUGGAAUUGUAGAAUCGCUUUGUUAACUGUCUAAGAACUAAAUUAAAAUAAAAUAAAUUCAAGAAUUCCAAUCCAUUGGAAAACCAUUCGUACCCCUCAAACAAGGGUAUAUCCCCUUGACAAAUACAAGCCAAAGCGGCAAGCAGAAGCGACAACAACCACUGAAACAACAACAUGAACAGAAACAUUUGUCAUGGCAAUUGAUUGCCAAGAAAUCCAAAACACCCAAAAACAAAUUCAAUUUAACUCUUAACAAAUAAACGGAAAAACAAUGCAAUGCGAAAACGAAAUGCAAUUCAAUUUCCAUAGGCAUAAACAUAUC